rnacentral:rRNA from 1 species
AUUGAACGCUGGCGGCAGGCCUAACACAUGCAAGUCGAGCGGAUGAAGGGAGCUUGCUCCUGGAUUCAGCGGCGGACGGGUGAGUAAUGCCUAGGAAUCUGCCUGGUAGUGGGGGAUAACGUCCGGAAACGGGCGCUAAUACCGCAUACGUCCUGAGGGAGAAAGUGGGGGAUCUUCGGACCUCACGCUAUCAGAUGAGCCUAGGUCGGAUUAGCUAGUUGGUGGGGUAAAGGCCUACCAAGGCGACGAUCCGUAACUGGUCUGAGAGGAUGAUCAGUCACACUGGAACUGAGACACGGUCCAGACUCCUACGGGAGGCAGCAGUGGGGAAUAUUGGACAAUGGGCGAAAGCCUGAUCCAGCCAUGCCGCGUGUGUGAAGAAGGUCUUCGGAUUGUAAAGCACUUUAAGUUGGGAGGAAGGGCAGUAAGUUAAUACCUUGCUGCUUUGACGUUACCAACAGAACAAGCACCGGCUAACUUCGUG